rnacentral:miRNA from 1 species
CACAGCUUUCUUGAACUUUCU